GGUUCUUUUUCUAGAAACUGUUUGUUACAGCCUAAUUUUAAUUUUCUUGCAGUGUUAACAGAGUAAGAUUUACACGGGUUUGGUAUACCACAAAAGUUUCCUACUUUUUCAAACACUGAACCUUUUUAAUCACCGUCUUAAGUGUCUUAUGUGGACGAAUCAACCUUACAUGUGAACAUAUUGUUAUGCUGAUUUGUGACUUGGUUUGAAGAACUAUGGUACUAUUCUUUCUUCUUGGUUCUUUUUCUAGAAUCUGUUUGUUACAGCCUAAUUUUAAUUUUCUUGCGGUGUUAACAGAGUAAGAUUUACACGGGUUUGGUAUACCACAAAAGUUUCCUACUUUUUCAAACACUGAACCUUUUUAAUCACCGUCUUAAGUGUCUUAUGUGGACGAAUCAACCUUACAUGUGAACUAUAAUGUUCAGUUGGUUGUGUUACAUAUUUUUUCUAGGCUUUAAUUUGGUGAUCUGUACUCAUAUUUGAAUUCUUCACAUUUCAUAAUAGUUGUUUCAGCAUCCACACCUGAUUCCUUUGUGAAAGCUCAUGGUGAGGUUAUCAUAUUCUUCCAGUGUUGAAGUUUUUGUGAGUUUCUGUAACGUUUUACUCAGUGGUUUAACAUACAAAAUUCUGGAGUAACUCUUCCCUUCCCAAG
rnacentral:lncRNA from 1 species